GUCGAACGCUGGCGGCGUGCCUAAUACAUGCAAGUCGAACGCAGUGGGGACGGGUGAGUAACACGUGGGUAACCUCCCAUCAGAGGGGCUAACACUUGGCAACAGGUGCUAAACCGAUACUGAUGGAUGGACCCGCGGGGCAUUAGCUAGUUGGUGAGGUAACCGCGCACCAAGGCCACGAUGAGUACCCGGCUCGGGAGGUGGAUCGGCCAGACAGGGACUGAGAGACGGCCCAUACUCCUGCGGUAGGCAGCAGGGGGGAAUCUUGGGCAAUGGGCGAAAGUCUGACCGAGCAAGCCCGCGGGAGUGAGGAGGGCUUUCGGAUCGUAAAGCUCUUUUGGUAGAGAAGCGGUAUCGAACCUGAAAGCCACGGCUAACUACGUGCCAGCCGCCGCGGUAAUUC
rnacentral:rRNA from 1 species